AGUGGGAUUACAUCAGACAAAAGCAAAGGAAACAACACAAUGGGAAUUUAACCUACAGAAUGGGAUGAAAUAUUUGCAAACCAUAUAUCUGAUAAGGGGUUAAUAUCCAAAAUAUAUGAAGGACUCCUACAACUCACCUGUCAAAGGACCUGAAUAAACAUUUCUCCAAAGAAGACCUACAAAUGGCUAACAGGUAUUUGAAAAGGUGCUCAACAUCACGAGUCAACAAGGAAGCAUCAGUAAAAACCACAGUGAGCUAUCAUCUUAUACCUGUUAAGAUGGCUAUUAUUAAAAAAAUAACAGAUAACAAAAUGCUGGCGAGGUUGUAGAGAAAAGGGAACUUUGGUACACUGUGGAUGGGACUCACAAAGGUGAAGGAUAAAGUACUUGCCCGGUAGGCUCCCUGGAACCUGAAUGAACUGCAGACAGGAGCGGUCAGUGCCACCAGUUAAUCCAACAAGAGUCUGGGGCAGGAGAUGGGAGGUAAAAGAUCCUGCAUCAUUUGGAUAGCAACCAAGCCAGCCAUAUGGGAAGGAAAAUAAUCUAGUGAGUUGCAAAAUAAGAAAUCAUGGUCCAUGUGUUCCUUCUGAUGGCUUUCUUUGGGAUAUGAGGCAAAAUAGAACUUUGACUUCUCUCCUGAAACAUCUGUGACACAAUUUAAGGAAAUUCAACAGGUUAGUUCAUGUACCUGAUAAGUUUGCAUAGCAUCUUUGAUACUUUUAUGGAAACCUCCCCAACAUUCUUCUAUUAGGUCAAUAAGCCACUAAGCCCAUCUUUCCAAGAGGGGUAAGAUAUACAGGAAGACCCAGGAAAUGGGUUUCGUAUAUUGAUUCAGUUACUGUUGUGAGGUUACAAAUACAGCAUGAAGGCUAUUGAGGCCAUUUUGCUUAGCAUGUGAGCAACCAUUGGAAGGGUUAAUGAAUAGCCACAAUUUUAAAGAUCACGUUUAUGUGAUUUAAUCACCUUUAAAUACCUGAAGAAAAAUUAAGAGAUCCGGUCCAUCUCAUGAGGUGCUCCAUAUAAUAAAACAUUAUGGAAGACUUAGAGGUAUUGGAUUUUAUAGUGUCUUUAUACUAAACAUACCACAUCGAUCAUUUCUAACUGAUAACGCUUUAAUUAGUCAGGUUAUUUAAAUGUGAAAUGGUGACCUAAUGGAGUUUUAUGCUUGAUAAUAGCCAGGUGGAAGAGAACAUAUGAAUAACAGGAUCCCUGUUCUAUUGGUAGAUGAUAAGCAAGUCGGUAUCUUUACAUGUUAAAAAAUUUUAAUAAAGUAGAAAAACUUUAUUUGGGUUUAUCUUUUUUCCUUGACAUUAAUUAGUACUUUACUCAAGGUAAACAUUCUAAAUGUGUUUGUAAUGUGAAGAAAUAACAUGGAAGAAGUUUGAAAUGCAUCAGAUUGAUAAGUUUAUCUGAAACAACCUUGAAGUACUAUAUUAAUAUAUUAAACUAGCAUUAGAAAUUAAUUCAUUAAAAAAGAAACUAAUUUAUUCUAUGCUUGUGAGGAUAUAAUAAAACUGCUAUCUUCACAUAAAGGUAGCAAGAUGACACAACUUCUCAAAGGAAAUUUGAAAAUAUGUGUUUCUAACUAAUUCUAUUGCUGGAAUAUUAUCUUAAGGACAUAGUCAAAAAUACAGGACGAAAAGCUCUGUCCACUAGUAUAUGCAUAGCAGCAUUAUUUAUACUAGUAAGUAAUUGGAAAUAAAUUAAAUGUCCAACAGUAAGGUAGUUUAUAUUAUAGUGUGUUACAUGGCUAUUAAACUCAUACUUAUGGGGUCUAUUUAACAGCAUGAAAAAUGCUUAUGUCCUAAUGUUAAGUGAAAAAUUUAUAGAAAACUAUGUACAUACUGUUAUUAUAAAUAUAUGUUAAUUAUAUGUGUGUUUAUUUAAAAAAGAUUUGAAACCAAGUAAAAAAAAAUAUGUAC